AGCAGCCGCGGUAAUUCCAGCUCCAAUAGCGUAUAUUAAAGUUGUUGCAGUUAAAAAGCUCGUAGUUGAAUUUUGGAUUCUUCCAAUUGGUCCAUCUUUUAGAUGAGUACUGGUUGUGUGGGGUCUAUCCGCCUGGUGAUACGUAAUGUCCUUUAUUGGAUGUUUCGGGUAGUCAGGACCUUUACCUUGAAAAAAUUAGAGUGUUUAAAGCAGGCUUAUGCCGGAAUACAUUAGCAUGGAAUAAUAGAAUAGGACGAAGUUGUUUUAUUUUGUUGGUUUCUAGGACAACCGUAAUGAUUAAUAGGGAUAGUUGGGGGCAUUAGUAUUCAAUUGUCAGAGGUGAAAUUCUUGGAUUUAUUGAAGACUAACUACUGCGAAAGCAUUUGCCAAGGAUGUUUUCAUUAAUCAAGAACGAAAGUUAGAGGAUCGAAGACGAUCAGAUACCGUCGUAGUCUUAACCAUAAACUAUGCCGACUAGGGAUCGGGCGAUGUUGUUUCCAUGACUCGCUCGGCACCUUAU
rnacentral:misc_RNA from 1 species